rnacentral:rRNA from 1 species
AAUGGGCGAAAGCCUGACGGAGCAACGCCGCGUGGGUGAUGAAGUUUUUCGGAACGUAAAACCCUUUCGCCAGGGACGAAGCGAGUGACGGUACCUGGAGAAGAAGCAUCGGCUAACUACGUGCCAGCAGCCGCGGUAAUACGUAGGAUGCGAGCGUUGUCCGGAAUUAUUGGGCGUAAAGCGUACGUAGGCGGUUUGUUAAGUUCGAUCUUAAAGACUGAGGCUCAACCUUAGGAGUGGAUUGAAGACUGGCAGGCUAGAGGACAUCAGAGGGAAGUGGAAUUCCGAGUGUAGCGGUGAAAUGCGUAGAUAUUCGGAGGAACACCAGAGGCGAAAGCGGCUUCCUGGGGUGGACCUGACGCUGAGGUACGAAAGCUUGGGGAGCAAA